GAUGAACGCUGACAGAAUGCUUAACACAUGCAAGUCAACUGUUGCUGACGGGUGAGUAACGCGUAAAGAACUUGCCUCACAGCUAGGGACAACAUUUGGAAACGAAUGCUAAUACCUGAUACUUUGAGAGAGCUUUGCGUCCCCUUAGCUAGUUGGAGAGGUAACGGCUCACCAAGGAGAUGAUGGGUAGCCGGCCUGUGAGGGUGAUCGGCGACAAGGGGACUGAGGCACGGCCCUUACUCCUACGGGAGGAAGCGGUGGGGAAUAUUGGACAAUGGACCAAAGUCUGAUCCAGCAAUGCUGGGUGCACGAUGAAGUUUUCGGGAUGUAAAGUGCUUUCAGUUGGGAAGCGGUACCAACAGAAGAAGUAACGGCUAAAUCCGUGCCAGCAGCCGCGGUAAUAC
rnacentral:rRNA from 1 species